rnacentral:piRNA from 1 species
UGAAAGGAUUAUGGCAAAAAUGACUCUGGAGU